rnacentral:rRNA from 1 species
GGGAUUGCCUCAGUAACGGCGAGUGAAGCGGCAACAGCUCAAAUUUGAAAUCUGGCCCUUUCGGGGUCCGAGUUGUAAUUUGUAGAGAGUGCUUCGGGGGAGGCGGCGGUCUAAGUCCAUUGGAACAUGGCGUCAUAGAGGGUGAGAAUCCCGUAUGCGACCGUGGCUCGAACCCAUGUGAAGCCUCUUCGACGAGUCGAGUUGUUUGGGAAUGCAGCUCAAAAUGGGUGGUAAAUUUCAUCUAAAGCUAAAUACCGGCUGGAGACCGAUAGCGCACAAGUAGAGUGAUCGAAAGAUGAAAAGCACUUUGGAAAGAGAGUCAAACAGUACGUGAAAUUGUUGAAAGGGAAGCGCUUGCAACCAGACCUGCCCGCAGGCGAUCAGCCGCUGUUCUCAGCGGUGCACUCGCCCUGCGAUCAGGCCAGCAUCGGUUUCGGCGGUCGGAUAAAGGCCUUGGGAAUGUAGCUCCCCUUCGGGGGAGCCUUAUAGCCCUCGGUGCAAUGCGGCCAGCCGAGACCGAGGACCGCGCUUCGGCUAGGAUGCUGGCGUAAUGGUUGUAAGCGACCCGUCUUGAAACACGGACCAAGGAGUCUAACAUCUAUGCGAGUGUUUGGGUGUCAAACCCAUGCGCGGAAUGAAAGUGAACGGAGGUGAGAACCCCGAAGGGCGCAUCAUCGACCGAUCCAGAUGUCUUCGGAUGGAUUUGAGUAUGAGCAUAGCUGUUGGGACCCGAAAGAUGGUGAACUAUGCCUGAAUAGGGUGAAGCCAGAGGAAACUCUGGUGGAGGCUCGCAGCGGUUCUGACGUGCAAAUCGAUCGUCAAAUUUGGGUAUAGGGGCGAAAGACUAAUC